CACAACUCACAAGAUAAGUUCAAAGUGAUAAAAAAACACACAAGUUCACACAACAAUGAAAAGUGAAAAUACAUAAGUUCACAAAUCACAAGUUCACAAGUCACAAUAUUGUUUUAUAACAAAGAGAGUUUCAUUUCUUCACUUGGUCACCACCUUCUUCUUCUUUCUUCCACCAUCUUCUUGUUCUUGUUCUUCUUCUUCAUAUUCACCUUCAUUUUCUUCAUUUUCAUCUUCAGAAUCACCUAACAUAUAAUGAUAUCAACAAAAAGUCAAGAAUCGAUGAUGACCAUAUCAUAUAUAAUAUAACAAAAAAUGACUUUACUUAAACAAAUGAGAGCGACUCUACUUAAACUGUCAAGCAAUAAAGCUGAGCAAUAAAACCAAACAAGCUAAUUGAAUAUCAGUGUUCCAAGGAGAGCGACUCUACUUAAACAAAUGAUUCACACAAGACAUAACAAGUGUCUGCAGAGAACAACCCUACUGCCCUAAAACCGAGCUUGUACAGAUAUCAUUAUUAGCUAUCAAAAUCAGUAGUCCCCUAACAGAUGAGAGCUUGUACAGAUGAGAGCUUGAUAAAAAAUAUAUCAAGUUUCCUGGGUGCUUAAGUUGAAACCCACGUAUUUUUUAUGCCACCAAACCAUCUCUCUCAUUUGUCUUAUACCAAAAUAUAUCAAGUUGCCUACGUGCGUCGCUCAAGUUGAAGGCAAGAAAUAUUAUUUAUUAUUUAACAGCACUAAUGUUGUCAAAAAGAACACAUCAUAUAAAAUACGUUCUGAAACUAUAGAUUUAAGCAGCAACAAGAGGACUCACCUUGACUUGAAUUUGUCAAUCAAAUGCAAUAGGGAAGGGGAGGUGCAACAUCAACAAAAGCAACAACAAUAGCAGCUUCAAACUAGAUGAUUUUCCACCACCUAACCAAACAAAGAGAAAAAAAAUUGACAUGAUCUACUAAAGGCUAAACUCAAUCAUUAACACAUAACACAAUAGAAAGCAGAUGACUUUAACGAUUACCAUAGGUUUUAAACAAUGCCCAAAUCAUAAAGGUAAGAACUUUACAAAACCCAAAAGACAGAUCCGAUUCAAUCAACAAUCUCUCUGAUUACAACAGGUAACAACCCAUUCUCGAAACACUCUAAAGCAGAUGACUUUAACAAUUACCUACGAAGAUGUUAAGCCUUAUAUUGAACGUGUGGCUAAUGGAGAACCCUCAGAUAUCAUCACGGGCGAACCUAUUACUCAUUUUUUCUUAAGGUAUAUACGUUGUCAAAUUACAACAAGACAAAGAACCCAUUCUCGAAACACACUUGAAAGCAGAUGACUUUAAACGAUUUAUUACCUUAGGCUUUAAGUUAGAAUCAACACCAUCGAAUCUGUAGCUAAAAAUGAAAAGCCAUAACACAAAUCACACAUAAACAGUUCAAAGAUGACAAAAUCAAACCUCGAGAGAUGACGAAAUCAGAGACAGCGAAGAAGAGCGAAGAGGACUCGAAGAAGGAGAAGGAAAAUCGAAGAAGGAGAAGAAGAAUCGCAGGAGAAGAAGAAGAAUCGCAGGAGACGAGAAAAAAAAAAAGAAAUCGUGUUUUCCCCUAAUUUCCUAACCCUAGACAUUUAAGCUUAUU
rnacentral:lncRNA from 1 species